rnacentral:pre_miRNA from 1 species
CGAUGAUGAUGAUGAUGAUAAUAAUGAUGAUGAUGAUGAUGAUGAUGAUGAUGAGCAUCAUCAUCAUCAUCAUCAUCAUCAUCAUCAUCACCAUUA